rnacentral:lncRNA from 1 species
CGAGCCCUGGGAAGCCACCGAAGCCAGGCUGUCCUUCACUGAGAACAUUUUUCCGAGCCUACUGUGUGAAGCCAAUGAGGAGAGUGAGGCACCAAGAAGUUGGAUGACGUUCCCUGGAGUUACCUGGCAGUGUCACCUCCCGCGUGACGCUACUGAAGCACAUGGCCACCAGGGUCUUGCCCGUCGGCCUGGAGACG